UUGAUAACAUAAGGGAAAAUAAUGAUAUUACCUUAUUAUUAGUGUCGUCCAAAACUGGUGCCAGAAGACUCGGUAAGGCCAGAGACAUAAACGUUAAUCGUCUUAAUCAGGCGUAAAGGGUUUGUAGGCGGCUUUAAAAUUUACUAAAAAAUAAAUAAAAUAAUAAGUAAAGAAUAAAAGCUAGAAUCAAAUAGAGGAUAUAUGAAAGAAUGCUUAGAGUAGGUCUGAUAUCCUUAGAUACUAAGUAGAAUAUUAAAGGCGAAAGCUUUUUUCCAUUAAUGAUUGACGCUCAGAAACGAAGGUGAGGAUAGGAAAUAGGAUUAGAUACCCAGAAUACCCCUCUCUGUCAACGAUGAAUGGUAGUUAUUAGUAAAAAUUUAUUAAUGGCAAUGUUAACACGAUAACCAUUCCGCCUUGUGAGUACAACUGCAAAGUUGAAAACAAAAAAAUUAGUCGGUUUCGGAGCAAACGAAGUGAAGCAUGUUAUUUAAUUCGAUAAUCCGCAAAAAUUUUACU
rnacentral:rRNA from 1 species